AUGCCUAAACAGUGUCUUAAAGUCAGCUCUAGAAGAAAAUGUCCAACAAGAGUGUAUUUGCCAGUUACUCAUCGCCAAAGUUACACACUUUUAGAUCUUAAAGAUCACCCACUGUGUCUACAUUUUACAGAUAAGAAAUCUGAUCCCCAGAUAAGUUAACUGACUUCUCCAAGGCAACACAAAGAACUAGGGCUAGAAUUUGGAUCUCUUUAGCUCCUAGUGUUCUUGAAUGACAGUACUAUACAAGGCAGAGACCACGGUGUUGGCAAUGUGAGUGCCCACUAACACCUGUCAUCUAUUCUUCCUCCAGCCUCCUCCGGGGGCAAGAAUAGAGGAAUCCCAAAGGAAAAGCUCAGUGGCUGUUGGUGGUGGCAUAAGGAACUACAGAAGGUAAGAAUACAGGUGAGUGUACACGGGCCGAGGACUGAUGAGUGUCUGGGAGGUGACAAAAAGUCAACGACCUAACAAACACUAUCACUUCUUUUUGUUCUACACAAUUAUAAAGAAGAUAUUUAUUUUUUCUUCUACCCCAAUUUUUACACAUAAAGAAUGGAAAAAACAAAAAUCAAUUUAAAAGGUUAAGUUCUGAAUCAACUCUUUCAGAAAGACUCCCAUGUACAUAUUUUAAAUAGAUUCCUAUCUCUUAUUUGACAAGAGAAACAAAUACUGAAUUAAAUUCUUCAUGGAUCCUUUUUCAGAAAAUCCUAAGAAGCAGUGAUUUAAGCAUCCCAAGGCACUGGUGACAGGCCCAGGGGGUAAAUGCCUGAACCCGAGUUCUAUCUCUAGGAUUCAAGGGGAAGAAGACAAGAACUGACUUCUGCAAGUUGCCCCAACGUGUUGUGCAUCACGGCACACAUGUGCCCCAAUACAAAGAUGUACACCGACCAAGUAUUUAGUGGGAAAAAGGACACGGGACACAUACGCAAAUCACUGUGCACAGCCUGGGACUAGAGAAGGUGUCCUGGAGACUACGCGAAUGCAAUGAUGACCGUGAUUUAAGCAGGCAGACACGACGGUGGCAGCGUGUUAGAAAAUCAGGUGGCUACAGACAGCACGACAACCAAGUCUGAGAAGACAAGCUGUGCGGAAACAAGCCGGGGAGCAAGGGAAAUGGUGCUGCCUGUAAUCCCUGAUGUUCAGGAGGUCUAGGAAACAGGCUCUCAAAACAAGGGGAGAAAAGGAAGAGGAAAAAUUACAGACCUCAAGGACACCUUGUCUUCCCAAGGUAAGGACAUUAUCAGAUGAGAAAUAUGGAUGGGACAAACUGGUUUCCAAACUAGCUACAAGCAGCUGUUGUGAACCUCAGAGACUACUAGACAGCGAGAGCUCCUCAGGACCAUUUCCCAGGGUAAACUGUAUUCUCCCUCAACCUAAAUUUCUAGCGGAGAUUACUGGGACCCAUUCACAAGAUGAUAUAGGUCUCAAACCUUAUAAAUACGCUAAUUUUCUCUUCUUAAAUUGUAUAUAGUAAGUUGUGUAAACUGUAUUUCCAAAAUAUCCCAAGUCUGCCUACUUG